rnacentral:lncRNA from 1 species
AAUUUUCAUUAGUUCUGUACUCAAUGAAUACAGUGGCUAACAAGAAACGUCAUGGUUUUCAUGAAUUUUUUCACAUUUUCCAAGCUAUUUCCUGAGCAAAUUCUGGCACUUGGUUCUUUUACAGGAAGUAGGACUGAACGGACUUAUUACUGUUAUUGUGUCUGAUGGACUGUCAUUACUGGAAGCCAUGCAUUUUGGGAAGUCUUCAUAUUCAGAAUGUCAUGGGAGAUACUCGGCAGUCCUUUAAACCCAGGAUACAACACUUCUGGAUCUGGAUUGCAUGAGGAGCAUUAGGACCCAUUCUGCAUGUCUGCCUUCCCGAUAGAUYGAUGCCCAGUUUAUCUCACUUAAAUCAACUGUUUCUGACUGGACCAAUUCCUGGAUGAGUUAAUUGAGCAUGGCUAAAAUCAAAAUGCUAGCCUAAUCAAGGAAACACGAAGAGGUGAUGACUAUGAAGAUUCUCAGCUUUCAGUAAAGGUGUUCAGUUGUUUACUUAUAUUCUCACAACAGAAGGAAAGUAGCAAGCUCAGCCCACUGGAAAUAAUUCUUGAUAAUCUCACUCCAUUACUUUCAGUGAAAUUGAGUCUGCUCGCUCUACCCUAGUGAACCAACAUCUCAGGGAAACAGGAAAACAGUAUCUCAUUCGUGCAGUACAAAGUAAGUGACAGAAGGAAAGGCAGACUGAAGGCUGUACGUCUUUAGUUUUCAAUUUGUAUUAGUAAUCCACC